rnacentral:rRNA from 1 species
UGAAGCCGGAAUUGCUGUAAUGGCAGGUCAGCAUACUGCCGUGAAUACGUUCCCGGGGCCUUGUACACACCGCCCGUCACACCAUGAGAGUUGGGAAUACCCGAAGCCUGUGAGCUAACGAAAGAGGCAGCAGUCGAAGGUAGAAUCAAUGAUUGGGGUGAAGUCGUAACAAGGUAUC